CCUACGGGCGGCAGCAGUGGGGAAUAUUGGACAAUGGGCGAAAGCCUGAUCCAGCCAUGCCGCGUGUGUGAAGAAGGCCUUCGGGUUGUAAAGCACUUUCAGUGGGGAAGAAAGCCUUGGGGCUAAUACCCUCGAGGAAGGACAUCACCCACAGAAGAAGCACCGGCUAACUCCGUGCCAGCAGCCGCGGUAAUACGGAGGGUGCGAGCGUUAAUCGGAAUUACUGGGCGUAAAGCGCGCGUAGGCGGUCUGAUAAGCCGGUUGUGAAAGGCCCCGGGCUCAACCGGGGAACGGCAUCCGGAACGGUCAGGCUGGGGGGAGGGAGGGAAAGGAAGAAUUCCGGUGUAGCGGUGAAAUGCGUAGAGAUCGGGAGGAAUACCAGUGGCGAAGGCGGUCUUCUGGACUGACACUGACGCUGAGGUGCGAAAGCGUGGGUAGCAAACAGGAUUAGAUACCCUGGUAGUC
rnacentral:rRNA from 1 species